UGAUAUGAAGAGCUUGCUCGGAUUUGAAGAUGAACAUUGCAAAGAGUGGCGAACGGGUGAGUAACACGUGGGAAACCUACCUCUUAGCGGGGGAUAACACUUGGAAACAAGUGCUAAUACCGCAUAAUACUGAUAACCGCAUGGUUAUCAGUUGAAAGAUGGUUCUGCUAUCACUAAGAGAUGGUCCCGCGGUGUAUUAGCUAGUUGGUAAGGUAAUGGCUUACCAAGGCAAUGAUACAUAGCCGAGUUGAGAGACUGAUCGGCCACAAUGGGACUGAGACACGGCCCAUACUCCUACGGGAGGCAGCAGUAGGGAAUCUUCCACAAUGGACGAAAGUCUGAUGGAGCAACGCCGCGUGUGUGAUGAAGGGUUUCGGCUCGUAAAACACUGUUGUAAGAGAAGAAUGACAUUGAGAGUAACUGUUCAGUGUGUGACGGUAUCUUACCAGAAAGGAACGGCUAAAUACGUGCCAGCAGCCGCGGUAAUACGUAUGUUCCAAGCGUUAUCCGGAUUUAUUGGGCGUAAAGCGAGCGCAGACGGUUGUUUAAGUCUGAAGUGAAAGCCCACAGCUUAACUGUGGAAGUGCUUUGGAAACUGGAUAACUUGAGUGCAGUAGAGGAGAGUGGAACUCCUGGUGUAGCGGGUGUG
rnacentral:rRNA from 1 species